AGCUGUCUCUCUCUUCUGAGGGGUAGGCAGGUGCUUCCGAAUCGCGGAAUGUAGGUGCUCAUAAGCUGGAGACCCACGGAAAGAACCUAGAAGCUCCGAGCGGUUGCAGACAGCACUGCAUUGAGCCAACGACUCCUGCUCUACUGAUGGUGAUUCCACAGCUUUGUGAGGAAUAAGUUAAGAUGAAGUCAGUGAAGUUUUCUGCGAAUUGCAAACAUUGUAGCAAGUGUUACCAAUUUUAUUAGUUCGACCACGACUUCACUCCUAUAUUUUGAAAAGCUGUUUGCCAAAUUGAACAUAACAAUAAUGGGAAAACAGAUUUUGCUCAAUCAGACCCAGCUCAGUCGGAACCUAGGUUUAUUGUGGAUCUGAUAUAAUUCUAGCACAAAACAAGGAAACCUAGCAUUUAAUACCACCAGAAAAUAUACAAUUUCUGGUAGGCUUUUUUAGAAUAUUGAAAAUUGAUUAUAGGCGGGCGCGGUGGCUCAUGCCUGUCAUCGCAGCACCUUGGGAGGCCUAGGGGGUCGGAUCACCUGAGCCUGGAGGUGAGGAUCAGGCUGAACCUGAGGUUAGAGACCAGCCUGGGCAAGAUAGCGAAACCCCGUCUCUACAAAAAGUACAAAAAAUUAGCUGGGCAUGGUGGCAGCAGGCCUGUAGUCCCAGCUACUCGGGAGGCUGACAUGGGAGGAUUGCUUGAGCUGGGGAGGUUGAGGCUGUAGGGAGCGGAGAUCCCUACACUCCAGCCUGUGAGACAGAGACCCUGUCUCAAAAAAAAAAAUUUUUUUCAUUUGCCGCAUUCUAAGGGGU
rnacentral:lncRNA from 1 species